rnacentral:rRNA from 1 species
GGGUCAGUAGGUUGGUCAUGCCACUGGUAUGUACUGGUCUCACUGAUUCCUCCUUCCUGAUGAACUGUAAUGCCAUUAAUUUGGUGUUGCAGGGAAUUUGGACUGUUACUUUGAAAAAAUUAGAGUGUUUAAAACAGGCUUAUGCUUGAAUACAUUAGCAUGGAAUAACGGAAUAGGACUUUGUUUCUAUUUUGUUGGUUUUGAGGAACGAAGUA